rnacentral:lncRNA from 1 species
AGAAACAAUCAAGCAAUCCAACACGUGUACAAAGCUUUCUUUCUUAAUACAAAGCUUUCUUGCAAGCUUCUCUUCUUAGCUUCUCUUAGCUUUGUUGUGGCAAUAGUUCGGGGAAAGGCUGACUCAGCACAUCGCAGGGGCGAAUUGUGACUAAGGCCGCACGGAAGAUAGCUAGGGAGUUAUCCGGUCCGUGACACUAGGCUACGUAACCUUGUUACUUAAGUUUUAAAUAAAAUGUUCUUCAUUUUGCCAAAUAAAAAAAUGAAGAGGUUAAUAAGAAAAACAACCUUAACAUUAGUAUUUGUGUGUGUUGUAAUCAGUGGCGGACCCAAAAUUUUACUCAAGCGAAAUCAAAAAGAUAUUGAAGCCCCAAAAGUCAUCAACAUUAGGGAUUAUUGUUUUUU